GAUGAAGAACGUAGCGAAAUGCGAUAACUAAUGUGAAUUGCAGAAUUCAGUGAAUCAUCGAAUCUUUGAACGCACAUUGCGCCCAUUAGUAUUCUAGUGGGCAUGCCUGUUCGAGCGUCAUUAAGUCCACUUAAGCCCAGCUUAGUGUUGGGAGACUGCUCCAGCGGUGCUACCCUGUAGCUACCCUGCAGCUCCUCAAAGACAGCGGCGGAGUUGUGGUAUCCUCUGAGCUUAGUAACUUGUUCUAGCUUUCGAGUACACCACUUCCCCUGCCGUAAAAACCCUUAAUUUUUAAUGGUUGACCUCGGAUCAGGUAGGAAUACCCGCUGAACUUAAGCAUAUCAAUAAGCGGAGGA
rnacentral:misc_RNA from 1 species